AUUUCUUACAUUGCAGUGAUAAGCAUUGCCUCACACUCCUUGUGUUACAUUCACAGAUCUGCAUGCAGAGAUUGAAGCUAAAGCUGACAGGACAACUUCUUUAGCCACCUGGCUUCACUAUCAGAAAAAAAGGACCCUGAAGAUCAGCCCUGAGCAUGCUGAGAUUUGGGCAGCACCUGAUCAAGCCCUCGGUGGUGUUCCUGAGGACAGAGCUGAGCUUUGCUCUGGUGAACCGCAGGCCGGUGCUGCCAGGACGUAUCCUUGCCAUGCUGCUGCUCCCUGGAAGGGCAGGACACGCUCAGGACACUUGGAAGGCCAGAUGGGCACCCUCAGCUCUAUACUGAGCUUUUGUUCAGAGACACUGCCUGCUGUGGAAAUCAUGGCACAUCUGAU
rnacentral:lncRNA from 1 species